CAAGGUAGAUAGGCCUUUUCUUUGCCCACGCAGAGGCAGCUGAUUAUUUCUGGAGAAAAUAAUACAAUUGGAAAGGUGAAGACACAGGAAGAAGACAGCUGUCUAUGAACAGGGAAGCAGGCUCUCACCAGACACCAAAUCUGCUGACAGCUUGAUCCUGUGUUUCCAGCCUUCUGAACUGACAAUGAGAAAAAGACUGAGGAAACACUACCGCCUCCAAUGAAGACCAG
rnacentral:lncRNA from 13 species